rnacentral:rRNA from 1 species
ACGCUGGCGGCGUGCCUAACACAUGCAAGUCGAACGAGAUGCGUAUUGGAAAGCUUCGGCCGGAAGAUACGUUAUCUAGUGGCGGACGGGUGAGUAACACGUGGGUAACCUGCCUUAUGGAGGGGGAUAACAGAGAGAAAUCACUGCUAAUACCGCAUAAGCACACAUUGCCGCAUGGCAGAGUGUGAAAAGAUUUAUCGCCAUAAGAUGGACCCGCGUCUGAUUAGCCAGUUGGCAGGGUAAAAGCCUACCAAAGCAACGAUCAGUAGCCGAUCUGAGAGGAUGACCGGCCACAUUGGGACUGAGACACGGCCCAAACUCCUACGGGAGGCAGCAGUGGGGAAUAUUGCACAAUGGGGGAAACCCUGAUGCAGCGACGCCGCGUGAGUGAAGAAGUAUUUCGGUAUGUAAAGCUCUAUCAGCAGGGAAGAUAAUGACAGUACCUGACUAAGAAGCCCCGGCUAACUACGUGCCAGCAGCCGCGGUAAUACGUAGGGGGCAAGCGUUAUCCGGAUUUACUGGGUGUAAAGGGAGCGUAGACGGAGUGGCAAGUCUGAAGUGAAAACCCUGGGCUUAACCUGGGGACUGCUUUGGAAACUGUUAAUCUAGAGUGUUGGAGAGGUAAGUGGAAUUCCUGGUGUAGCGGUGAAAUGCGUAGAUAUCAGGAAGAACACCGGAGGCGAAGGCGGCUUACUGGACAAUAACUGACGUUGAGGCUCGAAAGCGUGGGGAUCAAACAGGAUUAGAUACCCUGGUAGUCCACGCUGUAAACGAUGAAUACUAGGUGUCGGGGUGCAAAGCAUCUCGGUGCCGUCGCUAACGCAAUAAGUAUUCCACCUGGGGAGUACGUUCGCAAGAAUGAAACUCAAAGGAAUUGACGGGGACCCGCACAAGCGGUGGAGCAUGUGGUUUAAUUCGAA